rnacentral:lncRNA from 1 species
GAAACCCUAAUUUUAUGCCGGACAGACAGACAGAUAGGCGGCCUGCGCAGCCGAGAGAGUAAUUUCUUGGUCGCAAUAUUUUUCCUCUUCAAUUCUCUUUUUUUUUUUUUUUUCCCUUUUUUCUAUUUCUUUUUAUGGUGGAUUUUGGAUCUGAAUAUGAUGAAGAUGGUAAUGCGUUUCCUAACGUCUCGACACCUGAGAUCGCUUCGCGAUCUGUGAUUACCCACACAUCUUCUGAUUCCAACAAAUGCUAUGAUGGUAGAAUCUUAUAAAAUUUUGUAGUCUAUGUAGUUGGAUACUCGGAUAUGUUGCAUGAUGGAUUUUUUUUUUUUUUUUUGGGUGUGUUAUUGUUAGUUGUUUUAUAAUGCGGUAGGAAUGUUAAUUCUCUUAAAAAAAAUUAAAAGAACAAAAAAAAAAGAUUUAUUUAGGCAUUGUUUACUUUAGUAUUGUUGUUAUUUUUUUAAAAAAAUUUAAAUGGGGUUUUUUAUAUGAAAUUGUAUAAAAAAGGAUAGUGGAUUUCUUACAAUUCUUCGGAAGUAAUUUUUUUUUUCCACUUUGAAAAUUUUUACACAAAAUUACAAAGUGAAAUAGGUUUUUUUUUUUUUAAAUUUUUUUUUAUUGCUUAAGCAAUUCUCUAUCCACUCUCUUAUAUAAAGAUUCUACGGUAAACUUCAAUUACUGCUCAUGUGACUCUGUUAUUUGAAAAGUUUCACUUUACUAUUAUGUGAUUUUUUUUUAAAAAAACUUUUUUUUUCACUUUUAGAACUUGCUGUUAAAUAGGGUAGUAAAGUGAUGCGUCUUACUAACUAUAGGAUAAUUAACUGGAAAAUAUUUGCUUGUAAAGUGCUACAUUUUGCUACUUAAUUUGCUGUCGUAGUUUGUAAAUUAUAAUGUUUUGCUAUCCUAUUUAAUUUUCACUUAGUAAAGGAGAAAAUUAUAAUGUAACAGAGUGAGAUAUACGCUAAAUCACAUGCGGAGAAAUUGAAGUUUUUCCAAAAUUUUAUUCAACAAGAAAUAAAAGAAAAAUGGCACCAGUACAAAACGGAUGCAUAGAUAUAAACGGUUGGCUUACCAACCCAUCGCAAUUCGUAAUUGCUCUGGUGUCAAAUGGUCCGAUCAAAAUCGCUAUAAUUGGUUUCAGAGUAAACUUCAAUUUGUUUCCCUCUCGUUUAGUUCAUUUUCACUUUACUAUUCCGUGGUUCAAAAAGUUGCACUUAACAAUGCUGUGGUUUAGCACAUUUUUAUUUUGUCGACCUGUGAUUUAAAAAUUUACACUUAAUUAUUCCUGUGAUUAUCAAAAAGUUUCACUUUUGCUACCCUAUUUGAUAGUAGAUUUUUUUCGAUAAAAGAAAGAUAAAAUCACAGGAUAGUUAAGUGCUACUUUUUGAGCCACACGGGGUGGCGAGGUAAAAAAAUGAGCUAUUAUAUUUAUUUCUAUUGUAUUUUUGUUAGAAUUUGUUAUCCUCGAUCAUUUAGAUGUUGUCAUGUUUCACCAUUUUUUUCGUGUGUUGAGAAACUGAUUCUGAGGCGGCAAAUGAUGCAGAUAUCUUAUCCUACACUCUGAACAUGUUGUGUGGACUAUACUUCGCUUAUUAUCUGAUGCCAUUUAUGUUUGUUACGAUGUUAAGAAUGUUGAUUUUGGUUUUCGAAUUUUAGUUGGUUUGCUGUUUUGAUUUCAGUGGUGUCCGCAGUUUUUCUGUUGCUUCUUCAAUAGUCUUUAAAACCUUUUUUUUUUAGAAUUUGUUAUCUUUGAUCAUUUAGAUAUUGUUAUGUUUCUCCAUUUUUUUUUCAUACACUAAGAAGCUGAUUCUGGGGUGGCAAAUGAUGCAGAUAUCUUAUCCUACACGCUGAACAUGCCGUGUAGACUAUACUCUGCUUAUUAUAUCUGAUGCAAUUCGUGUUUGUAUACAAUAUUUAGAAUGUCGGUUUCAGUUUUUGAAUUUCAGUUGGUUUGUCGUUUUGAUUUCAGCAGUUUUCGUUGUUUCAGGUAUUUCCGAUUUCUCUUUUCUGUUGUCUCUCCUGUAGUCUUUUAAAACUUCAAUUGAUCAACAUAAGCACUAUCAACAAAGUACAGGUGAACCCCUCGACUUUGAGUGGUUCUAUAGCGCAAUACAACUGUGAUUUUUUUAGCAGCUGAAAUUGUAACAGCAAAUGCUGACAGAGCUUGAAUAAUCAAAAUUAGAAAAAUUAGAAGAUUUAGCAGUGGAGAGUCCGAUUUGAAAAGUAGUUGAGUGGUCUGAAUGCAUUUAUACCACUGACCAAUAUGUAGGAAACAAUGGAGGGAGAACCCACCAGGUUGGCCAUCAGCAGGAGGAGGAGAUAGAAAAAGCGCGACUGCAGAAGUUUCAAAUUGAGUUUGUAUUGCUGCAGCUCGAAGCAGAAGCUAUAGCCGAGCUUACUUUUUGAAAGGUUGAUAUACUGAUCUUUAUCUUAGUAAUGCUAUGCUCUUAUCCUCUUGGAUAAUUUACGAAUUAUACACAAAUUAUAUGCAUAUAUAUGUAGAGCUUGGUGUCUUUCGAUUUGUGAUUUGUGAUGUGAUGUGGUGGGCGUAUGUAGUGUAGCAUCUUGAAUUGCUUUCGAGUGUUUGAAUGCCAUGAUUUGCGUCGUGUAUCAGAUGAACGGCUCACUAACAAAUAUUUGUUGCAAUGCCCAACAAAACUGUGGAGCUCGAGUGUAGUGGUUGUGUCGCAUAUCAAAUGUUAUAUCCCUACUCGAAUCCAAGGGAAAAUGCACGAUCUGAAUCCCAUGUAAAAAUUUUUGUUAUGUAAGAAUAUACAAAUCUUCUCUGAAUUAUGGAUCAUUUUGAGUUGGCUACCGAAAUUUUCAAAAUUUUAC